AACGAACGCUGGCGGCAUGCCUAACACAUGCAAGUCGAACGAGACCUUCGGGUCUAGUGGCGCACUGGUGCGUAACGCGUGGGAACCUGCCCUUAGGUUCGGAAUAACUCCCCGAAAGGGGUGCUAAUACCGGAUAAUGUCUUCGGACCAAAGAUUUAUCGCCUUUGGAUGGGCCCGCGUUGGAUUAGCUAGUUGGUAGGGUAAAAGCCUACCAAGGCGACGAUCCAUAGCUGGUCUGAGAGGAUGAUCAGCCACACUGGGACUGAGACACGGCCCAGACUCCUACGGGAGGAAGCAGUGGGGAAUAUUGGACAAGGGGCGAAAGGCUGAUCCAGAAAUGCCGCGUGAGUGAUGAAGGCCUUAGGGUUGUAAAGCUCUUUUACCCGGGAUGAUAAUGACAGUACCGGGAGAAUAAGCUCCGGCUAACUCCGUG
rnacentral:rRNA from 1 species